rnacentral:rRNA from 3 species
UUAAAUUGAAGAGUUUGAUCAUGGCUCAGAUUGAACGCUGGCGGCAGGCCUAACACAUGCAAGUCGAACGGUAACAGGAAGCAGCUUGCUGCUUCGCUGACGAGUGGCGGACGGGUGAGUAAUGUCUGGGAAACUGCCUGAUGGAGGGGGAUAACUACUGGAAACGGUAGCUAAUACCGCAUAAUGUCGCAAGACCAAAGAGGGGGACCUUCGGGCCUCUUGCCAUCGGAUGUGCCCAGAUGGGAUUAGCUUGUUGGUGGGGUAACGGCUCACCAAGGCGACGAUCCCUAGCUGGUCUGAGAGGAUGACCAGCCACACUGGAACUGAGACACGGUCCAGACUCCUACGGGAGGCAGCAGUGGGGAAUAUUGCACAAUGGGCGCAAGCCUGAUGCAGCCAUGCCGCGUGUAUGAAGAAGGCCUUCGGGUUGUAAAGUACUUUCAGCGGGGAGGAAGGGAGUAAAGUUAAUACCUUUGCUCAUUGACGUUACCCGCAGAAGAAGCACCGGCUAACUCCGUGCCAGCAGCCGCGGUAAUACGGAGGGUGCAAGCGUUAAUCGGAAUUACUGGGCGUAAAGCGCACGCAGGCGGUUUGUUAAGUCAGAUGUGAAAUCCCCGGGCUCAACCUGGGAACUGCAUCUGAUACUGGCAAGCUUGAGUCUCGUAGAGGGGGGUAGAAUUCCAGGUGUAGCGGUGAAAUGCGUAGAGAUCUGGAGGAAUACCGGUGGCGAAGGCGGCCCCCUGGACGAAGACUGACGCUCAGGUGCGAAAGCGUGGGGAGCAAACAGGAUUAGAUACCCUGGUAGUCCACGCCGUAAACGAUGUCGACUUGGAGGUUGUGCCCUUGAGGCGUGGCUUCCGGAGCUAACGCGUUAAGUCGACCGCCUGGGGAGUACGGCCGCAAGGUUAAAACUCAAAUGAAUUGACGGGGGCCCGCACAAGCGGUGGAGCAUGUGGUUUAAUUCGAUGCAACGCGAAGAACCUUACCUGGUCUUGACAUCCACAGAACUUUCCAGAGAUGGAUUGGUGCCUUCGGGAACUGUGAGACAGGUGCUGCAUGGCUGUCGUCAGCUCGUGUUGUGAAAUGUUGGGUUAAGUCCCGCAACGAGCGCAACCCUUAUCCUUUGUUGCCAGCGGUCCGGCCGGGAACUCAAAGGAGACUGCCAGUGAUAAACUGGAGGAAGGUGGGGAUGACGUCAAGUCAUCAUGGCCCUUACGACCAGGGCUACACACGUGCUACAAUGGCGCAUACAAAGAGAAGCGACCUCGCGAGAGCAAGCGGACCUCAUAAAGUGCGUCGUAGUCCGGAUUGGAGUCUGCAACUCGACUCCAUGAAGUCGGAAUCGCUAGUAAUCGUGGAUCAGAAUGCCACGGUGAAUACGUUCCCGGGCCUUGUACACACCGCCCGUCACACCAUGGGAGUGGGUUGCAAAAGAAGUAGGUAGCUUAACCUUCGGGAGGGCGCUUACCACUUUGUGAUUCAUGACUGGGGUGAAGUCGUAACAAGGUAACCGUAGGGGAACCUGCGGUUGGAUCACCUCCUUACCUUAAAGAAGC